GUCGGUUCCAAAAUAAGCUUGUAGCUCCGCCACAAAUUAAUAAAUAUUAAAUGAUCCCUGUUCCCAUUAAUGAAAUCGAUAAAAUCCCGCUGCUUUCCACUACCAAUACGACCUUUUUGAAGAUUAAUCGACUUUCCUGAUCAUUUGAGUGAAGUACAUCUCGUUUCGAGCAGUUUGAAUCAAAUGGCAAAAUAUUACCUUAGCCUGUUUGCAAACGUUCACACACAGAUUGCGCUACUAUGUAUGUUCUAGGGUAAGCGGUAUGGCUAUGAGCAUAAAUGUCAAAAUCCCCAAAGAUGUCGAUUUUGAGACUUAUGCUCGCAUCACUGAUGAAAGAAAUUUUCUAUAUAAGAUGGUCCAAGACCGCCAUCGCUCUCUUUUGUAACACGGAUCCUAGCACGUUCUAGUAGUGCGCGCGCGAAACGAUUAGAAAAGGUUGAAAGCGAAACCUAUAGUAGUGAAAGUGAUAUUACUAAGUGCUUUUCCUCUUUUAGAUAGCUAGUUCCGACAGAGAAACCGUACCUGUGUUAGCCAAAAAAAAGCAAAAGUGUUAAUUUUGUAGAAGUUUAUGCGAGUUGUGCAUGUUAAAACGUUACAAAAUCGGAACAAAUCCGAUAAGCUAGACAAAAAACAACGCUAUAUUUGUAAAUCAACUUAGAAAAAGGUAAAUUUAGAGGCGGUUAAUUCCAUUGUAAAAGACAGAUGAGUGACGUCACCAGGGGUUCUAAUAAGUGGGGUUAGGUCCACCAAAGCGGACCUUUUUCUUUUUAUUUACAAGGCUACUCUACGGACGAGCGGGCAACGAAGAGACUUCGAUCCAGACCUGAGAAGUGUAGGUCGUUUCGGCAACUACGAUUACGUCGGAAGCGUCAGCGAGAAGGAGAAACCACCGGAAGGUUGGCUUGAUCCUUUCAACAGACCCCCCCCCCUGACCGCUGUCAGUAUGCCUUACCGAGACCUGCCAUGUGAUGUAAUGCAGUCCGCCAUCGCUAAAACAACGGCCGGCCAUGCAGUCAUCGAAUCAUGGACCGCCUAACCCCUAGCGGCACACCUACGUCCGCUAUCGAAACGUAUCUCCUGUCAAAAACCGCAAGUAGAACCCUGAUAAUGUGUGACGUCAGAAUAAAUAGGUUGUAAUGAGAAA